rnacentral:misc_RNA from 1 species
ACCACCAAUCUCCCGGAUUAUUCACAAAACAAAAACUUUGAAAACCACAUCCCAGAGAGGGGAGGAGGGAAGAAAACAAAGCCACCGAGUAGUAAUCCAACUGAGAUAAACUGAAAAUCGUUCUACAUCCCAUUUUGGAAUGGGUAAAUCAUGAUAAACAUAUAAAUUUUAGUCUGAGGGAUGACAAAAACCAUGAUUUGGUCCCUCUAUUUAGAAAUAAGUUGGUUCUUGAAAUAUAUUUCUAUUAACAAAAUAGUCCCAUUAAAAUUCACCAUUAGUCAACCAUAAUCGAAACAAUUAACCCAAAUCCAAGGAACUAAAAUUACAAGGACUAAACUGUUUCAAAAGGUGAAAUGCUAUAGACUAAACUAACACAAUUUUCAACUCACUAACAAGACUAUAUUGUUAAGAAAAUCAUAUCUCAGAUACUUAUUUCUCACAAAAAGCGAAAAGGAAUUAAACCGUAAUUUUUAUCAUAUCUCAGAAACUAAAUUUCAAAUUCCCCUAAAAAAUGAUGGUAAGAUAGAGGAAAAGAUGGUAAGAGAAAGGGAAAAACAACUUCAUGACACCAUACAGCUGAUGCUCUACAAGUCAGCUGUAAUUCUCUCAUCUGUUUCGAUGACACCAAUAUCAUUAGAAUCCACCGCCUCAAUAAUUAAAAGGAAAGAUGCUCAAAAUAGUACAAAUUGUUACACUACAAAAAUUUUCUUCAAAUUUUCUAGGAUAUGAACAUUUGGACUUGUCAUCUGAGUAGAAUAUUGAGCAUCAAAUAAGGCACCAGAAGAAAAUGAACAAAAAGGGGCAAGGCACCUGUUCAAUAGCAUUAACUGAACACGCACUAUCAAAAGCCAAAAAAAUUGAAUAUUUCAGAGUAGAUAAUAUAUAUACACACCAGCAUGAUUGACCAACUCUUGGUGAUAAAGUGGCUGCCACAAUAAUAUGGUUUCAACUGUUUAUCCUCCUUUUGGCCUAGGAUCCUCAUGCACAAAGAAACUUGCAGCAACAAUUACAUAACAAAGAAUGAGCAUUAGUCCUUUAAAGUAAUUAGAGGUUCCUUCCUGCAGAAAGAAGGCUACAACUAUAACAGUUAUGAAAAGAGUUGCUGUUUCAAAAAGUUGGAAGUUCAGGUCCAUAGGCUGCCCCAUCAUCCAACCGACAACAACACAAAAAGGAAUUGCAAACAUAGAAAUCUGUGUUGAUGACCCUAUUGCCACUCCCAGUGAUAUAUCAAGCUUGUCUUUCAUGGCAAACAUAAUAGCACUUGCAUGCUCUGCAGCAUUCCCCACAAUUGGAAGCAAGAUAACACCAAUAAAUGCAAUUGGUAUAUUCCAUGCAUGAGAUGCUCCCUCUAUGGCAUCAACUAAAUAUUCUGAUAGAAGAGAGAUCCAAGCUGUUAUUAUUGCAAGCCAAAUCACUGAUUCCCAUUUGGAGAUCUCUGGAGUUUCAUUGUCAUUGUCGUCUGUACUCUCCCCAUUCUGACUCCCUUCCUCUGGAAUAGGAACAUAUAUAUCCUUUUGACUCCUUAACUGGAAAAAAAGAUAGGCAGCAUACACCACAAGCAUAACACAACUGCUAAAUCUUGAAAGAGCCAACUCUGACUUCCCAUAAUGCACCUCAGUGUGUGUGUAGUGCAAGACAGCAGGAAAAAGCAGCCCCAUUACAGCCAUUAACAGCAAUCCCGAAUUCACAAUAGCAGUUGACUUGUCAAAGACCUGUUCCUUUUGAUAAAACACAAGACCACCACAGAAGAAUGCGCAACCAAGCACCAGUAACAUGUUUGACAAAAUGGAGCCUAGUAAUGAUAACUGAACAACCCGUAUCAUAUUACUUCUCAGUGCAUAGAUUGCAAUAAUCAGUUCUGUUGCAUUUCCGAAUGUGGCAUUGAGAAGACCACCAACUGUAGAUCCUGUGUAAAAAGCCAGCUGCCUAUACUCAAGUAAUAAGCAAACAGUAUUAGCUACUAAACACAUGAAAAUUAAGAGAAAUAAGAAGAAAAAUACUUACUCUGUAGCAUAACCUAAUCGCUCAGCCAAAGGUGUUAUACCCAAUAAACUAAGAAAGAAGACCCAUCCCUGAAAUUCGCCUCAAAAGUCAACAUACUAAUGAAACAUAUUAAACAACACAUCUGAUAAUAUGAAACAGAAUAUAUAAAAUUAUAACCCACAUUAUGCCCACUUAAUUGGUGGAUGAUGAUUGCAAGAGGCCCAAAGGGCAUAAGCAAAUUUAGUUUAUUUGAAAGUAGUACAGUCUUUAUGCUCUUAUAUACACCACUACUCCACUUCUUCCUGCCACCAGCUUGAAAGCUACCUGAUACAGAUCCACAAUCACCUAUAUGACUAGGUUGCAUCUUUUGGGUCCCUGGCUCUGGGCUGAAAACACUCUCAUCCUUGAACUCAUGCACAGAUCCAUUUUCAGCUAUUGGUCCCAUCUGUCAAAAGAAAAUACUCUUUUAUUAGAAAUCAGCAUUUUUACCAAAAGCUCUCCAACCUAUAUGCCACAUUAUUACUAGGUAACAAAUGUUUCAAUUGAAGUGCAAAUUAUUUAAUUCUUACUUAUACUCAUAAAAAAUAGGAAGUGUUAAAUCUUUUUGGCAACUAAAAAAGUUUGAAUCUAUAUGACCGGAAAAAGCAGAGCUUGAUAAAAGUUUCAGCACCAAAUGCUGCAAGACAAGGAUUUCACAUCAGUUUCCUAAUGAGGAAAAACGAAGAAACUUACUUCAAGUUGGGAUUGAAUUCCUACCACUUGGAACUUGUAGUCCAUCCACUAGAAUUAUAAGCAGAAAUAUUUUGCCAAGUCAUGAAUGCUCCACCAGUACGUGGAGUGCUCACAGUAGUUUUCUCAAUUUCAAAGAAAAGGGUCCUUUUGACAGUUGCAUAGAAGGUUUGUUCAACGAUGAAAUCUAAAGGAGCUGCAAAAAAACCAAAAACCCAACCCCAGCACUGCCUAACAAUCACGCAGAAGAUUUGCUCUGAUGCUUUACUUUUACCAAAAGAGAACUAAAUCAAAUGACUUUCAGCAACUGGAAUUGAAUUUGACCGUACGAUUGUUGUAAAUAUAUGGAGGCAUUCUGAUAAUUGAUUUCUCCGCUGAUUCCGAGUUUUUUCAUUUAUUUAUUUCAUUUUGGUUGAUCUUUCUGGCGGUUCGCGAGAGAAUGGUUAUUCGUUUACUAAAUUUGAACAAGACAGUACAGCGGAU